CUUGCAGUUGCUCUCCCACUGGGCCCAGCUUUCCCCCGGCUUGGAGGCGUCGAUCGGGCUGGAGGAGUCGAUCGGGUUGGAGGCGUUGAUCGGGUUGGAGGCGUCGAUCGGGUUGGAGUUGAUCGGGUUGGAGGAGUCGAUCGGACAAGAGGAGAGGAUGCUGGGCUUUUGGAUGUGGGGAACAGAUUGCAAGUGGGCGACUCCUGAAACACACACACAGAGAGAGAGAAAAAUAAAGAGCUAAAAUGGAAAAAGAAUCUGUUCUGCUGGCUGAGGGAUAGAGGCGGAGAGUUGCCUAGAUCCCAGUGAGGAAGGGCAGCAGCUAGCUGCCAACUUCAUCGUCACCACCAACACCAUUUAUUGAGAGCUUACUGGUGGUAUAGACGUUACAGAGCUCUGCACAGACACAGCGGAAGGGGCAUGGCUUAUGGAAUUUCAUUUAACCCCCACAAUCCUGUGAGGCAGAAUCUCACUCUCCCCAUUUUACCAACAAGGAACUACUGUCCUGUGUCCGGGGCCACACAUCCAACCCAGAGCCGCUAGACUCAC